UACGGGGGGGGCAAGCGUUGUUCGGGAUUACUGGGCGUAAAGCGUGCGUAGACGGUUAUUUAAGUCAGGUGUGAAAGCCCCGGGCUCAACCUGGGAAUUGCAUUUGAGACUGAAUAGCUAGGGUGCGGAAGAGGGAAGCGGAAUUUCCGGUGUAGCGGUGAAAUGCGUAGAUAUCGGAAGGAACACCAGUGGCGAAAGCGGCUUCCUGGUCCAGCACCGACGUUCAGGCACGAAAGCGUGGGGAGCAAACAGG
rnacentral:rRNA from 1 species